CUUGAUUCUGCAGGAGUGGCACCGGUUUCUGUUGUGGGUGUAGCACCAGAUUCUAUCGCGGGUGGUGUAGCACCAGUUUCUGUCGCGGGUGGUGCAGCGCCAGUUUCUGUCGUGGGUGCAGCGCCAGUUUCUGAUGCGGGUGCAGCACCAGAGUCUGAUGCCGGUGCAGCACCAGAGUCUGCUGCAGGUGCAGCACCAGAGUCUGAUGCCGGUGCAGCACCAGAGUCUGAUGCAGGUGGAUUACCUGAUUCUGGUGUAGUGGAAGCCCCAUUUUCUGAUUUAGGAGGAACACCGGAUUCUGAUGUUGCAGAUGUGUUGCUUCCAGCAGGAACAGAAGCCAUUGGUGCUGUUGUUUUAGAUCCUUCCAGAAGUAGUGGUUUGCCAG
rnacentral:lncRNA from 1 species